GGGGAUUUAGCUCAGUGGUAGAGCACUUGCCUAGCAAGCACAAGGCCCUGGGUUCAGCAGUCCCCA
rnacentral:tRNA from 1 species